rnacentral:rRNA from 1 species
CCUACGGGAGGCAGCAGUGAGGAAUAUUGGUCAAUGGGCGAGAGCCUGAACCAGCCAAGUAGCGUGCGGGAUGACGGCCCUAUGGGUUGUAAACCGCUUUUGCCGGGGAAUAAAGUCUCCUACGUGUAGGAGUUUGUAUGUACCCGGAGAAUAAGGACCGGCUAAUUCCGUGCCAGCAGCCGCGGUAAU